CGCAGCCGCGGUAAUUCCAGCUCCAAUAGCGUAUAUUAAAGUUGUUGCAGUUAAAAAGCUCGUAGUUGAAUUUCGGGAUUUGUCAGUUGGUCGGGCUUCACUGUCCGUACUGACUUGAUGGAUUCUUACCUUCUGAAUAACCAGCAUGCUAUUUAGUUAGUGCGUUGGGGAAGCAGAUCUAUUACCUUGAAAAAAUUAGAGUGCUUAAAGCGGGCUAGUGCUUGAAUAGAUUAGCAUGGAAUAAUAAAAUAGGACGGCAUGGUUCUAUUUUGUUGGUUUCUAGGAUCACCGUAAUGAUUAAUAGGGAUAGUUGGGGGCAUUAGUAUUCAAUUGUCAGAGGUGAAAUUCUUGGAUUAUUGAAGGCUAACUUCUGCGAAAGCAUUUGCCAAGGAUGUUUUCAUUAAUCAAGAACGAAAGUUAGGGGAUCGAAGACGAUCAGAUACCGUCGUAGUCUUAACCAUAAACUAUGCCGACUAGGAAUCGGACGAAGUUAAUUUUAUAAUGACUCG
rnacentral:rRNA from 1 species